rnacentral:rRNA from 1 species
GACGAACGCUGGCGGCGUGCCUAAUACAUGCAAGUAGAACGCUGAAGGAGGAGCUUGCUUCUCCGGAUGAGUUGCGAACGGGUGAGUAACGCGUAGGUAACCUGCCUGGUAGCGGGGGAUAACUAUUGGAAACGAUAGCUAAUACCGCAUAACAGUAGAUAUCGCAUGAUAUCUGCUUGAAAGGUGCAAUUGCAUCACUACCAGAUGGACCUGCGUUGUAUUAGCUAGUUGGUGAGGUAACGGCUCACCAAGGCGACGAUACAUAGCCGACCUGAGAGGGUGAUCGGCCACACUGGGACUGAGACACGGCCCAGACUCCUACGGGAGGCAGCAGUAGGGAAUCUUCGGCAAUAGACGGAAGUCUGACCGAGCAACGCCGCGUGAGUGAAGAAGGUUUUCGGAUCGUAAAGCUCUGUUGUAAGAGAAGAACGAGUGUGAGAGUGGAAAGUUCACACUGUGACGGUAUCUUACCAGAAAGGGACGGCUAACUACGUG